rnacentral:rRNA from 1 species
UUUGAUCAUGGCUCAGAAUGAACGCUGGCGGCGUGCUUUACACAUGCAAGUCGAGCGAGGCGGGUAGCAAUACCCAGUCGAGCGGCGAACGGGUGAGUAACGCGUGGAUUAUCUACCCUGAGGUGGGGGAUAACCCGGCGAAAGCCGGGCUAAUACCGCAUAACAUCGAAAGAUCAAAGGGGGAGCAAUCUCCCGCCAUUGGAGGAGUCCGCGUCCGAUUAGCUAGUUGGUAGGGUAAUGGCCUACCAAGGCGACGAUCGGUAGCCGGCCUGAGAGGGUGAUCGGCCACACUGGAACUGAGACACGGUCCAGACUCCUACGGGAGGCAGCAGUGGGGAAUUUUGCGCAAUGGGCGAAAGCCUGACGCAGCAACGCCGCGUGGAGGAUGACGGUCCUUGGAUCGUAAACUCCUGUCAGCAGGGAAAAAGGGGACCGGGCUCAUACCCCGGUUCAUUGAUUGUACCUGCAGAGGAAGCCCCGGCUAACUCUGUGCCAGCAGCCGCGGUAAUACAGAGGGGGCAAGCGUUAUUCGGAAUUAUUGGGCGUAAAGGGCGCGUAGGCGGCUCGACAAGUGGAAGGUGAAAUCCCUCGGCUUAACCGAGGAACUGCCCUCCAAACUGUAUUAUGCUUGAGGCCGGGAGAGGUGAGUGGAAUUCCCAGUGUAGCGGUGAAAUGCGUAGAUAUUGGGAGGAACACCAGUGGCGAAGGCGGC